rnacentral:lncRNA from 1 species
AUUAAAAGAAGGCAAAACAGGAAAACCCAAACAUGUUUUAUUCCAUGAAUUUAAUUAUGGUACGUUUUAGAGAUUAAAAAGGUGUUGGCCAAAGUGGACUUUAUUUCCUUGAAGAUUGAAUCAUACCUCAAGCAAUGGAUGUAAUUGUAAUUCGAUGAAGUCUGGUUAUUUUCAUAGUUAUAAAACUAAGGCAUGCUUCAAAGAUUUGAUCUAUAAUGAUAAAUUGGUAUACCAAGUGUGGUAUGAUUUUGGAAGUUAUUUAAAACAUAAGAUGGUGAGAAUUGAGAAAAAAAUAAUGAAGACUGGGGUAAUGGAACGUAGGA